rnacentral:lncRNA from 1 species
AUGAUUUAUCUUGUGACAAAUGACUUGUUGGAAAUUGAAGCAUUCUCUGAAGUGUAUAUAGAAAUCACAGUGGUUGUAUUCUUUGCACAGGGUUUGAAAGGUGACUUGGGUCCUCGUGGUCCACCUGGCCCAAAAGGAGAAAAGGGAGAUACGGGACCCCCAGGACCACCAGCCUUAACUGAUUCCCUGGGGAUCCAAGGCCCCCGAGGUCCACCUGGAAAAGAGGGUCAGAGGGUAAGUCAGCUUGAAGCAACUGCAGGCGUCACUGACUCUGGGAUGACUUAUUUCUGA